rnacentral:rRNA from 1 species
UACGUAGGGUGCGAGCGUUGUCCGGACUUAUUGGGCGUAAAGAGCUCGUAGGCGGUUUGUCGCGUCGGCCGUGAAAUCUCCACGCUUAACGUGGAGCGUGCGGUCGAUACGGGCAGACUUGAGUUCGGUAGGGGAGACUGGAAUUCCUGGUGUAGCGGUGAAAUGCGCAGAUAUCAGGAGGAACACCGGUGGCGAAGGCGGGUCUCUGGGCCGAUACUGACGCUGAGGAGCGAAAGCGUGGGGAGCGAACAGG